rnacentral:rRNA from 1 species
UACGGGGGGGGCAAGCGUUGUUCGGAAUUACUGGGCGUAAAGGGCUCGUAGGCGGCCAACUAAGUCAGACGUGAAAUCCCUCGGCUUAACCGGGGAACUGCGUCUGAUACUGGAUGGCUUGAGAUUGGGAGAGGGAUGCGGAAUUCCAGGUGUAGCGGUGAAAUGCGUAGAUAUCUGGAGGAACACCGGUGGCGAAGGCGGCAUCCUGGACCAACACUGACGCUGAGGAGCGAAAGCGUGGGGAGCGAACGGG